UCUAACCUUACGACAAAAUGGACAGCUUUCGAACUCGUAUAUCUCAAUAGGCUUCUCAGGGCGAGGGCCUAUUUUUGAGGUCUCUUUCACUUUGUAACCAGCUACUUCUAGAGCAUAUUGGUCUGGUGGAAUCUCAUUCUUGGAAACAAAAGAUACAGAAUACCCUGAAACGAAAACACCAGUGCCCAACCGGAAAAGCAAGGCAAGAGAAGCACCAAGAAUAUCCAAAGUCUUGCCUUCCUUCACUGUGAACGGCUUGGG
rnacentral:misc_RNA from 1 species